rnacentral:rRNA from 1 species
GACGAACGCUGGCGGCGUGCUUAACACAUGCAAGUCGAACGAAGUGGCAAACGGGUGAGUAAGACGUGGGUAACCUGCCCUCCUUUUUGGGAUAAGCCUUGGAAACGGGGUCUAAUACCGAAUAAAGGGGGAUGGGCUCGCGGCCUAUCAGCUGGUUGGUGGGGUGAUGGCCUACCAAGGCGGUGCCGGGUAGCGGGCCUGAGAGGCGGAACGGCGACAUAUGGACUGAGGUAGGGCCCAGACUCCUACGGGAGGCAGCAGUGGGGGCUAUUGCAACAUGGGCGAAAGACUGAUGCAGCGACGCCGCGUGGGGCAUGAAGGCUUUAGGGUUGUAAACCUCUUUCGCUAUCGAUGGGGUAGGUGGAGAAGAAGCGCCGGCUAACUACGUGCCAGCAGCCGCGGUAAUAC